rnacentral:rRNA from 1 species
CAAUCUGUCACUGAGGGAUGGGCCUGCGGCGCAUUAGCUAGUUGGUGGGGUAACGGCCCACCAAGGCGACGAUGCGUAGCCGACCUGAGAGGGUGAACGGCCACACUGGGACUGAGACACGGCCCAGACUCCUACGGGAGGCAGCAGUAGGGAAUCUUCCGCAAUGGGCGAAAGCCUGACGGAGCAACGCCGCGUGAGUGAUGAAGGUUUUCGGAUCGUAAAGCUCUGUUGCCAGGGAAGAACGUCCGGUAGAGUAACUGCUACCGGAGUGACGGUACCUGAGAAGAAAGCCCCGGCUAACUACGUGCCAGCAGCCGCGGUAAUACGUAGGGGGCAAGCGUUGUCCGGAAUUAUUGGGCGUAAAGCGCGCGCAGGCGGCUAU